CUACGGGAUGCAGCAGUGGGGAAUAUUGCACAAUGGGCGCAAGCCUGAUGCAGCAACGCCGCGUGAGGGAUGAAGGCCUUCGGGUUGUAAACCUCUUUUAGCAGGGAAGAAGCGAAAGUGACGGUACCUGCAGAAAAAGCACCGGCUAACUACGUGCCAGCAGCCGCGGGAAUACGUAGGGUGCAAGCGUUGUCCGGAAUUAUUGGGCGUAAGGAGCUCGUAGGCGGUUUGUCACGUCUGCUGUGAAAAUCCAAGGCUCAACCUUGGACUUGCAGUGGGUACGGGCAGGCUAGAGUGCGGUAGGGGAGAUGGGAAUUCCUGGUGUAGCGGUGGAAUGCGCAGAUAUCAGGAGGAACACCAAUGGCGAAGGCACAUCUCUGGGCCGUAACUGACGCUGAGGAGCGAAAGCGUGGGGAGCGAACAGGAUUAGAUACCCGCGUAGUC
rnacentral:rRNA from 1 species